rnacentral:rRNA from 1 species
GACGAACGCUGGCGGCGUGCUUAACACAUGCAAGUCGAACGGAAAGGCCCUGCUUUUGUGGGGUGCUCGAGUGGCGAACGGGUGAGUAACACGUGAGUAACCUGCCCUUGACUUUGGGAUAACUUCAGGAAACUGGGGCUAAUACCGGAUAGGAGCUCCUGCUGCAUGGUGGGGGUUGGAAAGUUUCGGCGGUUGGGGAUGGACUCGCGGCUUAUCAGCUUGUUGGUGGGGUAGUGGCUUACCAAGGCUUUGACGGGUAGCCGGCCUGAGAGGGUGACCGGCCACAUUGGGACUGAGAUACGGCCGAGACUCCUACGGGAGGCAGCAGUGGGGAAUAUUGCACGAUGGGCGGAAGGCUGAUGCAGCAACGCCGCGUGCGGGAUGACGGCCUUCGGGUUGUAAACCGCUUUCGCCUGUGACGAAGCGUGAGUGACGGUAAUGGGUAAAGAAGCACCGGCUAACUACGUG